GUUGAUUACAUUUUGGAACGGAUUUAGUUUCCAGUCUAGCCUCGCUCCCACCCUCUGACCGGGGAAGGAGAAGCCAGCUCCGAGUCUGGGGAAGUGGGGGGUUGGGGACAAGGCUUUCGCAGCAGACGACCUGCUAGAGGGCGACAUGAGCAGUAAUCUCCCCAACAGGAGCCCCAGGAUGUAUUCUCCCCCUCAAAACAAAUGAAUGAAAUAGUGCCUGUCACCGAGGGCGGGACAACGGUACUCCCUCGAUCAUGAGGAUCUCUCCAUUUUCAACAACCGUAAUAUUUUCAAUAAAGACUGCAGUAGACUGCAGAUGCUGGAAUCUGGAGCAACAAAGUGCUGGAUGACCUCAGAAGGCCAGGCAGUGUAUAUGGAAGGAAGUGGACAGUCAACAUUUCGGGCAGAGACCUUUCAUUGGGAAUGAACAUUUGCUACAUCUUCAUUGACAGUAGCCUGAAGUACCACACCACCCAGUUCAAGAAUAGCUAAUUCCUUCAACCCUUUGGUUCCUGAACCAAUCUGCACAACCCUAAUCACUACCUCUGCACCAUUACCAUUUUUCACUACAAUGGGCUUUAGUUUGUUGUUCCAAUUGUAUUCUUUCUUGUAAAAGCUGUAUAAUAUGCAUUUGAUUAAUCCUCGUGGAUGCUCAUAGUUGAUGCUGUAUCACUGUAGGUUUGAUGCUGUAUCACUGUAGGUUUUUCAUUGUGUGUGUGUGUGUGUUGGACCCAUUAUCUAAGAAAGGAUGUGGUAGCAUUGGAGAGGGUCCUGGGGAAGUUCAUGAGAAUGAUUCCGGGAAUGUAAGUGUUAACAUAUAGAAGGCAUUUAAUAGCUCUGGGCCUGCAUUCACUGGAGUUUAGACUUUAGAGGAAUAAGGGGGAUCUCAUUGAAAACUAUCAAAAAUUGAAAUGUCUAGAUAGAGUGUAUGUGGAGAACCUGUUUCCUG